GGGGAUGUAGCUCCAUGGUAGAGUUCUUGCCUAGCAUGCAUGAGGCCCUGGGUUUGAUCCCUAGUACUUCA
rnacentral:tRNA from 1 species